CGUACACUCCUACGGGAGGCAGCAGUGGGGAAUAUUGCACAAUGGGCGCAAGCCUGAUGCAGCGACGCCGCGUGGGGGAUGAAGGCCUUCGGGUUGUAAACUCCUUUCGCUAGGGACGAAGCUUUUUUGUGACGGUACCUAGAUAAGAAGCACCGGCUAACUACGUGCCAGCAGCCGCGGUAAUACGUAGGGUGCGAGCGUUGUCCGGAAUUACUGGGCGUAAAGGGCUCGUAGGUGGUUUGUCGCGUCGUCUGUGAAAUUCUGGGGCUUAACUCCGGGCGUGCAGGCGAUACGGGCAUAACUUGAGUGCUGUAGGGGUAACUGGAAUUCCUGGUGUAGCGGUGAAAUGCGCAGAUAUCAGGAGGAACACCGAUGGCGAAGGCAGGUUACUGGGCAGUUACUGACGCUGAGGAGCGAAAGCAUGGGUAGCGAACAGGAUUAGAAACCCCUGUAGUCCCAUG
rnacentral:rRNA from 1 species